rnacentral:rRNA from 2 species
ACAUGCAAGUCGAGCGAAUGGAUUAGAGAGCUUGCUCUYAWGAAGUUAGCGGCGGACGGGUGAGUAACACGUGGGUAACCUGCCCAUAAGACUGGGAUAACUCCGGGAAACCGGGGCUAAUACCGGAUAACAUUUUGAACUGCAUGGUUCGAAAUUGAAAGGCGGCUUCGGCUGUCACUUAUGGAUGGACCCGCGUCGCAUUAGCUAGUUGGUGAGGUAACGGCUCACCAAGGCAACGAUGCGUAGCCGACCUGAGAGGGUGAUCGGCCACACUGGGACUGAGACACGGCCCAGACUCCUACGGGAGGCAGCAGUAGGGAAUCUUCCGCAAUGGACGAAAGUCUGACGGAGCAACGCCGCGUGAGUGAUGAAGGCUUUCGGGUCGUAAAACUCUGUUGUUAGGGAAGAACAAGUGCUAGUUGAAUAAGCUGGCACCUUGACGGUACCUAACCAGAAAGCCACGGCUAACUACGUGCCAGCAGCCGCGGUAAUACGUAGGUGGCAAGCGUUAUCCGGAAUUAUUGGGCGUAAAGCGCGCGCAGGUGGUUUCUUAAGUCUGAUGUGAAAGCCCACGGCUCAACCGUGGAGGGUCAUUGGAAACUGGGAGACUUGAGUGCAGAA